rnacentral:rRNA from 1 species
CAGCCGCCGCGGGAAUACCGAGGAUGCAAGCGUUAUCCGGAAUGAUUGGGCGUAAAGGGCUCGCAGGCGGUUUCUUAAGUCUGAUGUGAAAGCCCCCGGCUCAACCGGGGAGGGUCAUUGGAAACUGGGAAAUUUGAGUGCAGAAGAGGAGAGUGGAAUUCCACGUGUAGCGGUGAAAUGCGUAGAGAUGUGGAGGAACACCAAUGGCGAAGGCGACUCUCUGGUCUGUAACUGACGCUGAGGAGCGAGAGCGUGGGGAGCGAACAGGAUUAGAUACCCGCGUAGUCCCUGUCUCUUAUAC